GAGUUUGAUCAUGGCUCAGGAUGAACGUUGGCGGUGUGCCUAAUACAUGCAAGUCGAACGGAGUUAAUAGCAAUAUUGACUUAGUGGCGAACGGGUGAGUAACGCGUUGGUGAUCUGCCUCAAAGUGUGGAAUAACGUUCCGAAAGGAACGCUAAUACCGCAUGUGCUCUCGAUUUUUAGAAAGUUGAGAGUAAAGGAUUUAUUCGCUUUGAGAGGAGCCUGCGUCCCAUCAGCUAGUUGGUAGGGUAAUAGCCUACCAAGGCUUUGACGGGUAGGGGACCUGAGAGGGUGGCCCCCCACAAUGGAACUGAAACACGGUCCAUACACCUACGGGUGGCAGCAGUAGGGAAUAUUAGAAAUGGACGAAAGUCUGAUCUAGCGACACCGCGUGUGCGAUGAAGGCCUUCGGGUUGUAAAGCACUUUUUGGAAGGAAUAGGAAGGAAGGUACUUCCAGAAUAAGUCUCGGCUAACUACGUG
rnacentral:rRNA from 1 species